UACGGGGGGGGCAAGCGUUGUUCGGAAUUACUGGGCGUAAAGGGCUCGUAGGCGGCCAACUAAGUCAGACGUGAAAUCCCUCGGCUUAACCGAGGAACUGCCUGUCAGACUGGAAGGCUUGAGACCGGGAGAGGUGAGUGGAAUUCCCAGUGUAGCGGUGAAAUGCGUAGAUAUUGGGAGGAACACCAGUGGCGAAGGCGGCUCACUGGACCGGAACUGACGCUGAGGCGCGAAAGCGUGGGGAGCAAACAGG
rnacentral:rRNA from 1 species